UACGAAGGGGGCUAGCGUUGCUCGGAAUCACUGGGCGUAAAGGGCGCGUAGGCGGCCAUUCAAGUCAGGGGUGAAAGCCUGUGGCUCAACCACAGAAUUGCCUUUGAUACUGUUUGGCUAGAGACCGGAAGAGGUAAGUGGAACUGCGAGUGUAGAGGUGAAAUUCGUAGAUAUUCGCAAGAACACCAGUGGCGAAGGCGGCUUACUGGUCCGGUUCUGACGCUGAGGCGCGAAAGCGUGGGGAGCGAUCCGG
rnacentral:rRNA from 1 species